CUUGAUGGAGGUUUUGGUUUUGUUGAUGUUACUGUUUUAUAAAUUGUCGUAUUAAAAUCUGCUGAACGAUUUAUUGACUUUGUUAAUAAAGGACCCUCCUCUUAUCAUGAAAGCUUCAGAUUUAGUUUGUGAGGCCAACAGGAGAGGAGAGACGUUCUUCAAACCAUACGAGCUCACCUCGUCUCUGAAGAAAGACUUGGAAGCCGUAGAAAAAGACAAUAAUUCAUAUA